GAUGAACGCUGGCGGCGUGCCUAAUACAUGCAAGUCGAGCGAACAGACGAGGAGCUUGCUCCUCUGACGUUAGCGGCGGACGGGUGAGUAACACGUGGAUAACCUACCUAUAAGACUGGGAUAACUUCGGGAAACCGGAGCUAAUACCGGAUAAUAUAUUGAACCGCAUGGUUCAAUAGUGAAAGACGGUUUUGCUGUCACUUAUAGAUGGAUCCGCGCCGCAUUAGCUAGUUGGUAAGGUAACGGCUUACCAAGGCAACGAUGCGUAGCCGACCUGAGAGGGUGAUCGGCCACACUGGAACUGAGACACGGUCCAGACUCCUACGGGAGGCAGCAGUAGGGAAUCUUCCGCAAUGGGCGAAAGCCUGACGGAGCAACGUCGCGUGAGUGAUGAAGGUCGUCGGAUCGUAAAACUCUGUUAUUAGGGAAGAACAAAUGUGUAAGUAACUAUGCACGUCUUGACGGUACCUAAUCAGAAAGCCACGGCUAACUACGUG
rnacentral:rRNA from 1 species